GCCUACGGCCAUACCACCCUGAAAGCGCCCGAUCUCGGAAGCUAAGCAGGGACGGGCCUGGUUAGUACCUGGAUGGGAGACCGCCUGGGAAUACCAGGUGUUGUAGGCU
rfam:Xenopus tropicalis strain Nigerian scaffold_5315_contig_1, whole genome shotgun sequence.